UACGGGGGGGGCAAGCGUUGUUCGGAAUUACUGGGCGUAAAGGGCUCGUAGGCGGCCAACUAAGUCAGACGUGAAAUCCCUCGGCUUAACCGGGGAACUGCGUCUGAUACUGGAUGGCUUGAGUGCGGGAGAGGGAUGUGGAAUUCCAGGUGUAGCGGUGAAAUGCGUAGAUAUCUGGAGGAACACCGGUGGCGAAGGCGGCAUCCUGGACCGACACUGA
rnacentral:rRNA from 1 species